rnacentral:misc_RNA from 1 species
UUGAAUGAAUUUGGUUAGACUGUUGCUGAUUCUUUUUACAAAAGAAUAAUGUGCACGUCUGACAACCAAUUUCUAUUCCAAUCACCUGUGCACUUUUAUGAUGAUAUAGACUUGGUUAUUAGAAAUUUGCAGCAUUUUGAAAUAAUAAAUGCAGCUGAUAUCUUUUCUUUUCAAGUCUAUGUUUUCUUAAAUACACACCCUUUUAUUGUAUGUCUAUUAGAAAACCUAUACAAUAAACCAAUA